rnacentral:rRNA from 1 species
UCAGACGAUGCGUCAUGCAUAUCAAUAAGCGGAGGAAAAGAAGCUAACAAGGAUUCCCCUAGUAACGGCGAGUGAAGCGGGAAGAGCUCAAAUUUGAAAUCUUAAAGGGUUUCCCUUUACGAAUUGUAGUUUAAAGAAGUGUUUUCUGUUGAGGUUUUGGUAAAAGUUCUUUGGAAUAGGACAUCAUAGAGGGUGAGAAUCCCGUAUUUGACCUUUACUUUCAACUUUGUGAUACACUUUCAAAGAGUCGGAUUGUUUGGGAAUGCAGUCCAAAAUGGGUGGUAAAUUUCACCUAAAGCUAAAUAUUGGCGAGAGACCGAUAGCGAACAAGUACCGUGAGGAAAGAUGAAAAGAACUUUGAAAAGAGAGUUAAACAGUACGUGAAAUUGUCAAAAGGGAAGCGUUUGACACCAGUGUUGUUUUUCUGAAAAUCAAUUAAAGAACUGUUUAUGCUAAGUUGUUUAGACUUUAUCAGCUAUCUGUUUAGUUUUAGGCUUUUCUUUAAUGCACUUUUCAGUUAACAAGUCAACAUCAAUUUCUUUUGCUGUAAAAAGCUUGAGGAAGGUGGCUUGAGAUUCGUCUUAAGUGUUUAUAGCCUCUUGCCUAUGCAGUCGGAGAGAUUGAGGUCUGCAGCGUAGAUCCUUCGGGGCUAAAUGCAUUUGUGCUAAGUUAUAGCAUUUUAUAGACAACUUGUUGACUAUGAUUUGUCUUGUAGCUUACUCGCUUAUGUUAUUUUACCUACGCUUAGGAUGUUGACACACGCGCGUGCUCG